rnacentral:rRNA from 1 species
ACACAUGCAAGUCGAACGGUAACAGGAAGCAGCUUGCUGCUUCGCUGACGAGUGGCGGACGGGUGAGUAAUGUCUGGGAAACUGCCUGAUGGAGGGGGAUAACUACUGGAAACGGUAGCUAAUACCGCAUAACGUCGCAAGACCAAAGAGGGGGACCUUCGGGCCUCUUGCCAUCGGAUGUGCCCAGAUGGGAUUAGCUAGUAGGUGGGGUAACGGCUCACCUAGGCGACGAUCCCUAGCUGGUCUGAGAGGAUGACCAGCCACACUGGAACUGAGACACGGUCCAGACUCCUACGGGAGGCAGCAGUGGGGAAUAUUGCACAAUGGGCGCAAGCCUGAUGCAGCCAUGCCGCGUGUAUGAAGAAGGCCUUCGGGUUGUAAAGUACUUUCAGCGGGGAGGAAGGCGAUAAGGUUAAUAACCUUGUCGAUUGACGUUACCCGCAGAAGAAGCACCGGCUAACUCCGUGCCAGCAGCCGCGGUAAUACGGAGGGUGCAAGCGUUAAUCGGAAUUACUGGGCGUAAAGCGCACGCAGGCGGUCUGUCAAGUCGGAUGUGAAAUCCCCGGGCUCAACCUGGGAACUGCAUUCGAAACUGGCAGGCUAGAGUCUUGUAGAGGGGGGUAGAAUUCCAGGUGUAGCGGUGAAAUGCGUAGAGAUGCUGGAGGAAUACCGGUGGCGAAGGCGGCCCCCUGGACAAAGACUGACGCUCAGG